rnacentral:misc_RNA from 1 species
UUGCCCUCAGAAUUCACUG